GAUGAACGCUAGCGGCAGGCUUAACACAUGCAAGUCGAGGGGUAGAAGGAGCUUGCUCCUUUGAGACCGGCGCACGGGUGCGUAACGCGUAUGCAAUCUACCUUUUGCAGAGGAUAGCCCAGAGAAAUUUGGAUUAAUACCUCAUAGUAUGUGAGGAUGGCAUCAUUUUCACAUUAAAGUCACAACGGCAAAAGAUGAGCAUGCGUCCCAUUAGCUAGUUGGUAAGGUAACGGCUUACCAAGGCUACGAUGGGUAGGGAUCCUGAGAGGGAGAUCCCCCACACUGGUACUGAGACACGGACCAGACUCCUACGGGAGGCAGCAGUGAGGAAUAUUGGACAAUGGGCGCAAGCCUGAUCCAGCCAUGCCGCGUGCAGGAUGACGGUCCUAUGGAUUGUAAACUGCUUUUAUACAGGAAGAAACACUACUUCGUGAAGUAGCUUGACGGUACUGUAAAGAAUAAGGAUCGGCUAACUCCG
rnacentral:rRNA from 1 species